rnacentral:rRNA from 1 species
AGUGAACGCUGGCGGUAGGCCUAACACAUGCAAGUCGAACGGCAGCACAGUAAGAGCUUGCUCUUACGGGUGGCGAGUGGCGGACGGGUGAGGAAUACAUCGGAAUCUACUUUUUCGUGGGGGAUAACGUAGGGAAACGUACGCUAAUACCGCAUACGACCUACGGGUGAAAGCAGGGGAUCUUCGGACCUUGCGCGAUUGAAUGAGCCGAUGUCGGAUUAGCUAGUUGUCGGGGUAAAGGCCCACCAAGGCGACGAUCCGUAGCUGGUCUGAGAGGAUGAUCAGCCACACUGGAACUGAGACACGGUCCAGACUCAUACGGGAGGCAGCAGUGGGGAAUAUUGGACAAUGGGCGCAAGCCUGAUCCAGCCAUACCGCGUGGGUGAAGAAGGCCUUCGGGUUGUAAAGCCCUUUUGUUGGGAAAGAAAAGCAGCAGGUUAAUACCCCGCUGUUCUGACGGUACCCAAAGAAUAAGCACCGGCUAACUUCGUG